UACGAACACUGGCGGCGCGCCUAAUACAUGCAAGUCGAACGCUUUUUCUUUCACCGGAGCUUGCUCCACCGAAAGAAAAAGAGUGGCGAACGGGUGAGUAACACGUGGGUAACCUGCCCAUCAGAAGGGGAUAACACUUGGAAACAGGUGCUAAUACCGUAUAACACUAUUUUCCGCAUGGAAGAAAGUUGAAAGGCGCCUUUGCGUCGCUGAUGGAUGGACCCGCGGCGCAUUAGCUAGUUGGUGAGGUAACGGCUCACAAAGGCAACGAUGCAUAGCCGACCUGGGAGGGGGAUCGGCCACACUGGGACUGAGACACGGCCCAGACUCCUACGGGAGGCAGCAGUAGGGAAUCUUCGGCAAUGGACGAAAGUCUGCCCGAGCAACGCCGCGUGAGUGAAGAAGGUUUUCGGAUCGUAAAACUCUGUUGUUAGAGAAGAACAAGGAUGAGAGUAAAACGUUCAUCCCUUGACGGUAUCUAACCAGAAAGCCACGGCUAACUACGUGCCAGCCGCCGCCGUAA
rnacentral:rRNA from 1 species